rnacentral:hammerhead_ribozyme from 1 species
AUCUAACUGACGAGUCCCAAAUAGGGCGAAACGUGAGUCCUGGAU